UACGGAGGAUGCAAGCGUUAUCCGGAAUGAUUGGGCGUAAAGCGUCCGCAGGUGGCAAUGUAAGUCUGCUGUCAAAGCGUCCGGCUCAACCAGAUAAAGGCAGUGGAAACUACAUAGCUAGAGUAAGGUAGGGGUAGAGGGAAUUCCUGGUGUAGCGGUGAAAUGCGUAGAGAUCAGGAAGAACACCGGUGGCGAAAGCGGGCUACUGGGCCGAUACUGACGCUGAGGCGCGAAAGCCAGGGGAGCGAACGGG
rnacentral:rRNA from 1 species